UUUUCAUUUUGUGGAAUCUUUUAGAUGC
rnacentral:piRNA from 1 species